rnacentral:rRNA from 1 species
CACGUAGGGCGCAAGCGUUGUCCGGAAUUAUUGGGCGUAAAGAGCUCGUAGGCGGACUGUCACGUCUGCUGUGAAAAGCUGGGGCUUAACCCUGGCCUUGCAGUGGAUACGGGCAGACUAGAGGUAGGUAGGGGAGAAUGGAAUUCCCGGUGUAGCGGUGAAAUGCGCAGAUAUCGGGAGGAACACCAAUGGCGAAGGCAGCUCGCUGGGACGGUACUGACGCUGAGGCGCGAAAGCGUGGGGAGCAAACAGG